GACGAACGCUGGCGGCGUGCUUAACACAUGCAAGUCGAACGAAGUGGCGAACGGGUGAGUAACGCGUAAUCAACCUGCCCUUCAGAGGGGGACAACAGUUGGAAACGACUGCUAAUACCGCAUACUGAAGGAGGGGAUUGCGUCUGAUUGGCUAGUUGGAGGGGUAACGGCCCACCAAGGCGAUGUUCAGUAGCCGGUCUGGAGGGAUGAACGGCCAAAUGGGGAAUGAGACCCGGCCCAGACUCCUUCCGGAAGCAGCAGUGGGGAAUCUUCCGCAAUUGACGAAAAUCUGACGGAGCACAGCCGCGGGAGUGAUGGAGGCCUUCGGGUUGUAAAGCUCUGUUAAUCGGGGCGCGGUACCGGAAGAGAAAGCCACGGCUAACUACGUGCCAGCAGCCGCGGUAAUAC
rnacentral:rRNA from 1 species